rnacentral:rRNA from 1 species
UACGGGAGGCAGCAGUGGGGAAUAUUGCACAAUGGGCGCAAGCCUGAUGCAGCCAUGCCGCGUGUAUGAAGAAGGCCUUCGGGUUGUAAAGUACUUUCAGCGGGGAGGAAGGCGGUGAAGUUAAUAGCUUCACCGAUUGACGUUACCCGCAGAAGAAGCACCGGCUAACUCCGUGCCAGCAGCCGCGGUAAUACGGAGGGUGCAAGCGUUAAUCGGAAUUACUGGGCGUAAAGCGCACGCAGGCGGUCUGUCAAGUCGGAUGUGAAAUCCCCCGGGCUUAACCUGGGAACUGCAUUCGAAACUGGCAGGCUAGAGUCUUGUAGAGGGGGUGAAAUUCCAGGUGUAGCGGUGAAAUGCGUAGAGAUCUGGAGGAAUACCGGUGGCGAAGGCGGCCCCUGGGACAAAGACUGACGCUCAGGUGCGAAAGCGUGGGGAGCGAAACAGGAUUAGGAUACC